GGGUGAGUAACACGUAUGGAACCUGCCCGUAGCAGGGGGAUAAGCGGAAGAAAUUCCGUCUAAUACCGCGUAAUAACUCCGAGAGGCAUCUCCUGGGGUUUAAAGGGUAACACCGGCUACGGAUGGCCAUGCGGCGCAUUAGCUAGUUGGCGGGGUAACGGCCCACCAAGGCGACGAUGCGUAGGGGUUCUGAGAGGAAGGUCCCCCACACUGGUACUGAGACACGGACCAGACUCCUACGGGAGGCAGCAGUGAGGAAUAUUGGUCAAUGGGCGCGAGCCUGAACCAGCCAAGUCGCGUGAGGGAAGACGGUCCUAUGGAUUGUAAACCUCUUUUGUCGGGGAGCAAAAGACGCCACGCGUGGCGUUCCGAGAGUACCCGAAGAAAAAGCAUCGGCUAACUCCGUGCCAGCAGCCGCGGUAAUACGGAGGAUGCGAGCGUUAUCCGGAUUUAUUGGGUUUAAAGGGUGCGCAGGCGGAAGAUCAAGUCAGCGGUAAAAUUGAGAGGCUCAACCUCUUCGAGCCGUUGAAACUGGUUUUCUUGAGUGAGCGAGAAGUAUGCGGAAUGCGUGGUGUAGCGGUGAAAUGCAUAGAUAUCACGCAGAACUCCGAUUGCGAAGGCAGCAUACCGGCGCUCAACUGACGCUCAUGCACGAAAGUGUGGGUAUCGAACAGGAUUAGAUACCCUGGUAGUCCACACAGUAAACGAUG
rnacentral:rRNA from 1 species